UUAAAGAAACUUUUUAUUUGAAGUGUUAUAUUUUUAAUAUAAAAAAGUUUUAAAAACCUUUAAUAA
rnacentral:tRNA from 1 species